UAUAAAACGGAAAACAACAAAGCAAAGACCAAGCAGUACCACUGUUAUCCCUUCGUGCUGUUCUUGUUCUCCUGGUACCCAACGAAAGUGACCAGCUGACAAGGGGAACCAUUCAAGUUUCACGGUUGAAAUGAGACCUUCAACUAUGGUUCUCUUGAGUGUGGACUCACUUUGUGGUAUAGACACUAAGUACCAGUCAUUGACCUAAAGUAGUCUGGUAGCUCCAACGCUGAACCUCAACUAGGAAUGUGUGGACUCCGAGCUGCUCCACUUUUCUGAAGUUCCUCUGCAUUUUUGGUCAAUAGAAGCCUGAAAACUGGGAAGAUUUCUCACUGGACCUGGGACUAGCCAACAACCCCUGGGAUUCUGCAGUCUCUGCACCUUCAGGGCUGGGGUUACAAGCAAGCGCUGCUGCACCUGACUUUUAGCUUGGGCUCAGUCCUCAAGUUUUCAGAGCAGACACCUUGCCCCAUCUCUCCAGCCUGCCUGGAGGAUUUCAUCCUUGGGUUGAGUUGCAGGAACAGGGCCUUGCAGGCGCUUUCAUAGUAAGAGCCCUCGACUUGAGAUCCCUCUUUGAAUCACAUUUCUGUCACUUAGUAGCUGCAAAGUCACAGAGAAUUUUUAACUCAUAUUCCGUUUCUUCAUCUAUAAAACGCGGUUACUGAUAAUCCCUCUGUCUCCCUUUCAUGGCUGCUGUGGUCUAAAAAGCCUAUCCUGAUAUAAAACUGUCUUGAACAAAAACGCAAA